UUGCAGGACGCUUAGGGUUCCGCCGCAUUCCCAGCGGGUCAGGUCCGAGAAGCUUCACCGAACCGGCAAACUCCGGUAAGGCACACGGCGGGGCAAAAUCCCGGGAGAC
rnacentral:sRNA from 2 species